UGGCAGUACAACUGGUUCAAUGCUGAUGGAAUGUUCAUGGAACCACAACUAAUCCUCUCCGGACAUGCUGAAAAAGGUGCACCAACUGUGGAAGACCUCCUACAUUGUUCCGGUGCCCAAGAAAGGUCAUCCCAGUACCUCAAAUAACUACAGACCUGUGGUGCUGACCUCACAUGUCAUGAAGACCUUUGAGAGACUGGUCCUGAGGCACCUGAACCUGAUCUUAAGUGACUCCCUUGAUCCACUGCAGUUUGCAUACCAGACCCAAAUCAGCGUGGAUGAGGCAAUCAUCUAUCUACUGCAUAGGGCUUACUCAUACCUAGAGAGGCCAGGAAGCACAUUGAGAAUCAUGUUUUACGAUUUUUUUUACUGCAUUUAACACCAUCCGGCCCCCGUUGCUUGCAGAAAAGCUCUGGAACAAAUGGGUAGAGCACGAUAUGGUGGCUUGGAUCAUGGACUAUCUCACCAGAAGACCACAGUAGGUCUGACUGCAGGGCAGCCUGUCAGAUGUAGUGAUGUGCAAC
ensembl:lncRNA